rnacentral:rRNA from 1 species
GACGAACGCUGGCGGCGUGCUUAACACAUGCAAGUCGAGCGGUAAGGCCCUUUCGGGGGUACACGAGCGGCGAACGGGUGAGUAACACGUGGGUGACCUGCCCUCAGCUCUGGGAUAAGCCUGGGAAACUGGGUCUAAUACUGGAUAUGACUCCACGGUGCAUGUCGUGGGGUGGAAAGCCUUGUGCGGCUGAGGAUGGGCCCGCGGCCUAUCAGCUUGUUGGUGGGGUGANGGCCUACCAAGGCGACGACGGGUAGCCGGCCUGAGAGGGCGACCGGCCACACUGGGACUGAGACACGGCCCAGACUCCUACGGGAGGCAGCAGUGGGGAAUCUUGCGCAAUGGGCGAAAGCCUGACGCAGCAACGCCGCGUGAGGGAUGACGGCCU